GGAGCCGAGAGACAGGUGCUGCAUGGCUGUUGUCAGCUCGUGUCGUGAGAUGUUGGGUUAAGUCCCGUAACGAGCGCAACCCUUGUCCCUAGUUGCCAGCACUUCGGGUGGGGAACUCUAGGGAGACUGCCGGUGAUAAACCGGAGGAAGGUGGGGAUGACGUCAAGUCAUCAUGGCCCUUAUGGGCUGGGCUACACACGUGCUACAAUGGCCGGUACAGAGCGUCGCGAAGCCGCGAGGUGGAGCCAAUCGCACAAAACCGGUCGUAGUCCGGAUCGCAGUCUGCAACUCGACUGCGUGAAGUUGGAAUCGCUAGUAAUCGCAGAUCAGCACGCUGCGGUGAAUACGUUCCCGGGCCUU
rnacentral:rRNA from 1 species